GCCAGGGUGGUGUAGUGGAUAGCACAUCUGCCUGGUAAGCAGGAGACCUGGGUUCAAGUCCCAGCCUUGGCA